UCGAGAAUCUUCCGCAAUGGGCGAAAGCCUGACGGAGCGACACCGCGUGCAGGACGAAGGCCCUCGGGUUGUAAACUGCUGUCACGCUCUAGGAACCCCAUGUCGUGAAUAGCGGCAUGGCUGACCAAGGCGAAAGGAAGAGGCGGCUAACUCUGUGCCAGCAGCCGCGGUAAUACAGAGGCCUCGAGCGUUAGACGGAAUCACUGGGCUUAAAGCGUGUGUAGGCGGAAGGGUAAGUACCUUGUGAAAUCCCACGGCUUAACCGUGGAACGGCUUGGUAUACUGCUUUUCUUGAGCAAUCUAGGGGCGAGUGGAACAGAUGGUGGAGCGGUGAAAUGCGUAGAUAUCAUCUGGAACGCCAAUGGUGAAGACAACUCGCUGGGGAUUUGCUGACGCUGAGACACGAAAGCCAGGGGAGCGAACGGGAUUAGAUACCCCAGUAGUCCCUGAGCGGGCUGGCAAGGCGCAU
rnacentral:rRNA from 1 species